rnacentral:tRNA from 1 species
AAGGGGCUUAGGAUAAUCUUAAACCAAGAGCCUUCAAAACUCUAAAUAAGGGCCCAAAACCCUUAGCCCCUG